CUUGUCCUAUGAGCAUCGGUUUGUGCCGCCGCUGUCAAAAUGGCAAAUGUUCCGUGUUGGAUAUGGAGAUCCAAUUCAACAAGCAUUUAUUAAAUACUAUGAGCCUGGCACUACGCUAGGUAGGCUUGAGGAUGCAAAAAAUAAAAUAAAAUAAUUAAAAUGGUUCCAGAUUUCAAGGAAUUUACAUACUACUGGGGAGAUAUGUCAUGGAAGGAGGAAAGAGCUAAGAGUGACAAAUGGCAGAGGUGAGAAGAGAAGGGGGAGCAUUCCAGGCCAUGGGACAGCCUGUAGAAAUCCAUGGGAAGAGAGAUGUGGAAUGUUGUACACAGGAAACAUUGAGCAGGCCAAUGUGGCUGGAAUUUAGAGUCCGUGAGAUGCUCAAAGAACAGCCUGAAGGGUUUUACGGAAAUCUCAACCCUCAAUACAUUAGCAGUGGUUGCAUGGUGGAUACAAGGUACAAGGGAGUUGUAGCAUAUUAUCAAUAUAAAUUUGUACUCAGGAAAGAAAUCCAUAUACCUCUACCUGUAACCAUAUAUAGUUCAUCCAAUCAAACUCUCAAAACGAAGGUCUUAGCCUUUUGUAACAUGCAGCAAUUUUAAUUCCUUCAGAGUGACUCAAGCUAUUUUAUCCACCUUUCAAUCAGCCUGCUUUUUUGCUAAUGAGUUGGAAACAUGUGUUUCUGGAAGAAUAGCCUCAGAUUUGACCCUAAAAAUUAAAGAUUUUUAUCUCAUGGA